rnacentral:rRNA from 1 species
GGGAAAGAUGAAAAGGACUUUGAAAAGAGAGUCAAAAAGUGCUUGAAAUUGUUGGGAGGAAAGCGAAUGGAUGCCUCAGUUGCCAGCUGGCUGUGCGUGGAACGGCCCCUUGUGGCUGGUCUGCCAAUCAGCUCAGCUGGCCCUCCAGCGUGGGGGUGGGCAGUGCUACCAAGUGUGGGGGGCUUCUGUCCCCUGCCUAUGGUGCUGCUUUCCCUUGUGAGUGGGGGCGCGCCAGUCUCUGGCAGGGCCUUACGGCCCUUGCGUCCUUCCGAUGCUGGUGUCCUGGGCGUUCCAUCCGACCCGUCUUGAAACACGGACCAAGGAGUCUAACAUGUAUGCGAGCCUGCGGGUUAAACACCUGGCGAGGCGAAAGGAAACUGAUCUGUGGGAUCCCUCCCGGGAGCACCAUUGACCGACCCUGAUCUUUUGUGAAAGGUUCGAGUGAUAGCAUACCUGUUAGGACCCGAAAGAUGGUGAACUAUGCCUGAGCAGGGCGAAGCCAGAGGAAACUCUGGUGGAGGCUCGUAGCGAUACUGACGUGCAAAUCGUUCGUAGGACUUGGGUAUAGGGGCGAAAGACUAAUCGAACCAUCUAGUAGCUGGUUCCGGGCCAAGUUUCCCUCAGGAUAGCUGGAGCUUUUUCGGAGUUUUAUCGGGUAAAGCGAAUGAUUAGAGGCCUCGGGGGUGAAACACCCUCGACCUAUUCUCAAACUUUAAAUAGGUAAGGUGUUGGGGUUGCUCUGGUGAACCCCAACUUUGAAUCCGAGCUCCAAGUGGGCCAUUUUUGGUAAGCAGAACUGGA